rnacentral:misc_RNA from 1 species
GCUUUUGCGAUCCGUGGGAGGAAGGAAGCGUCGGUACCGUCGGGAUUGGCUGCUUCUGAACCAUUGUUAUCCAAUCUUUGAAUCCAUAGUUAUUUCUCCACGACGUUAUUUUUAAAAAGAAGGCUUUUAAAAGUUGUUUUGCCUGCAUUUCAACUCGAUUUGCAGGUGUGUGGGAUGAGUAUGCUUGUUGGGGGGUCUGUCGGUGGUGGGGCUUUGGGGCUGCAUGUGCAUGCGUGCAUGUGGCUGCAGCCCCAAGCUCUGCACACCAUGGUGUGUUAUUACC